UGAGAGGAUAAGCUUGGAUCUUAUCCAUGGGCGAUGAAGUUAAUCCAAGUGCUAGGAAGGAUUUGGAAGAGGAUGAGGAUGGGAGCAAAUCCAGAUGGGGUCUGGAUUCUCGGGAACGGCUUGGGACGUUGGGAGUAAUCCGGCAGAAGGUUGCUGGUUCUCAUCCGGAAGUGGCUGGGAAUUUGGCUGAGAUGAAGAUGCUAGGAUGAUGUUCACGAACGGGAGGAGAUGGAUGCCGAAUCUGCUGAACCGUGAUGAAGAGGAUGACGUUGAAUCCUAGCUGGUCGUGGGAUAAGGAUGAACUCGGACGGAUUCGUGAGCUGGGAGGAAGGCUGCGGACGACUAGAUUACAAUCAUGGGAGAGAGGAAUCCAGAAGAAGAUUGUGAGGAUCUCGGUUUGGGAAGCGGCUGAGAAGAAAUCUGGGAAGAAGGUGACAUGGUUACAACGCGGAGAAACAGGGGAUGUUGAUGUUCUAAUCUAGAUUCGGUUCUGGAUGAAUGUUGGGAAAUAGGGGAGCUGGGAAGGACGUAGAGGUUUGGAAUCGGCUGAUGGCUUGGUUUUGUUGUGGGACACGGGAGAUGAUGAUCUGGUGACGUUGUUGAGAGCUUAUCCGUGGAGGGGAUCUAGCGGGAGAAGCUGGGAUUUGAGUUUAUCCCACGGGCGAAGAGGAGGGGAGAUGAGCUGGGGCUCUCUACCGAAAUGCCAGGAGGGUGGAGGAGGUUUUGUUUGACGUGGAACAGGGGCUGAGCUUGCUCGUGGAUGAUGAACGGGAAGGCUAGGAUCAAACGCGAAUGCUGGGCUGUUUGGUAGAGAGACAUGGAGGAAGAUGGAAACGGGCGUGAGGGGAAAUCUGGAGGUUGGGAUGAUGGGAAUUGAACCGUUUGAAACAGGGGAGUUAAUCCUAUUCGGCUGGAAAAAGGCCAAUGACUAGAAUUCUCUGAGAUCUGUGCAACUAUAGAUGAAUAGAUGAUAUACUUUGAGAUCUGAGAAAUAAAUGAUUGAAAAGUGUGGGAAGAGAAGUAGGUGAACUUGUGAAGAAACAGGAAUUAAUGGGAAGCACUGGAUUUUGGAGGAGAGUUCUUGGAGUCGACUCCGGAGGAUGUGGAAUUAUGAAAUGAUGCAGUGUAGGUUUAGGUUUUAUCUUAUUGAGCUUGAUUCGACCUGCAUACAUUAAGCUUAAUCAAUAAUCAAAAUUGAAUUAAAAUGCAUUGAUGAAGGUGAACAUAUUUUUUAGUUGAAUUUACAAAAUAUGUGAAUUAAAAUAAUGAUAAGUGCUAUGAAUAAGAUAUUAGUUCAUGCAUUAUUUAGCACUUAUCAGAUAAGCAUAGAUUUUUCAAACUAUUGGAUAUAAGAGACACCCAAAAAUUUUCAUGAGGCAUCGUCUUCAUAUGCUGGCUAUUUAAACUUUAGGCGGAAAGCACUUUGAAGAUUUCAUGCAAUUUAAGUACCUUGUGUCCACUUUUAUUUUUUUAUUUAAAGUAAGCAUAGAGUAGAUGUGUUUCAUUUUUUACCCAGCUGCUUCUUGCUACAAGGAGUGGGUGGCUAGUGUUAAGUGUGACGAAGGAGGUUUUUCUGGGUGAAAAUCUUCUUAACUUGUUGGAGCAAACCAAUCAUGUUUUUGUAAAUUCCUAAGUAAACGUCAUAUAGAAAGUUCUUGGGUGUUGAUGGUUCUUCUUGAAAGUUUAAAUACCUUACGAUAGCUCGUUUAUGGUGUCUACACUAUUAUUUUGUUCCAAAUUUACGACUAUUAAAUCACACUUAUUAUAUGAAAUCUAAUGCAAAGUAGC
rnacentral:lncRNA from 1 species